rnacentral:rRNA from 1 species
UACGUAGGGCGCAAGCGUUGUCCGGAAUUAUUGGGCGUAAAGAGCUCGUAGGCGGCCUGUCGCGUCUGUUGUGAAAACUCGAGGCUCAACCUCGGGCUUGCAGUGGAUACGGGCAGACUAGAGUUCGGUAGGGGAGUCUGGAAUUCCUGGUGUAGCGGUGAAAUGCGCAGAUAUCAGGAGGAACACCGGUGGCGAAGGCGGGACUCUGGGCCGAUACUGACGCUGAGGUGCGAAAGCGUGGGGAGCAAACAGG